rnacentral:misc_RNA from 1 species
AGCAGCCGCGGUAAUUCCAGCUCCAAUAGCGUAUAUUAAAGUUGUUGCAGUUAAAAGCUCGUAGUUGAAUUUCGGGAUCAAUGCGUCGGUCGUGCCUUCGGUACGUACUAGCGUCAUUGAUUCCUCCCUUCUGAAGAACCGUGAUGUCAUUAAUUUGGUGUUACGGGGAAUCAGGACUGUUACCUUGAAAAAUUGAGUGUUUAAAGCAGGCUAACGCUUGAAUACAUUAGCAUGGAAUAAUGAAAUAGGACGUUCGAACCUAUUUUGUUGGUUUCUAGGAUCGACGUAAUGGUUAAUAGGGAUAGUUGGGGGCAUUAGUAUCCAAUUGUCAGAGGUGAAAUUCUUGGAUUUAUUGAAGACUGACUACUGCGAAAGCAUUUGCCAAGGAUGUUUUCAUUAA